AAUCAACGCUGGCGGCGUGCCUCAGACAUGCAAGUCGAACGAUUAAAGCUCUCUUCGGAGAGUGCAUAAAGUGGCGCACGGGUGAGUAACACGUAAGUAAUCUACCUUCGAGUGGGGAAUAACGUCCGGAAACGGACGCUAAUACCGCAUAACGCAGCGGCAUCGCAAGAUGACAGUUGUUAAAGAUUUAUCGCUUGAAGAGGAGCUUGCGGCAGAUAGCUUGUUGGUAAGGUAACGGCUUACCAAGGCUACGAUCUGUAUCCGGUCUAAGAGGACGGUCGGACACACUGACACCGAAUAACGGGUCAGACUCC
rnacentral:rRNA from 1 species